GCAAGCAGUCAGAGUGUACUUGGAGAGCUUCGUUAGAUCUGGUGGAGAGGAAGUCUAGGGUUUCCAAGAGGGCUAAGGCUUCCGCUUGUUCCACCGAAGAUGCAACAACCAUCUCGGAGAAUCCAUCGAUCAGGCGGCCCCAAGAAUAUCGGCAAAUACAAGCAAUGGCGCCCUAUUCUCGCCGCUCGUCUGUUCUCCUCCCGGAUCUGGUGUUGCCUUGUUCUCGGCCGCACCUUCGUUCUCCUCCGGAUCUGGUGUUGCCCUGUUCUCGGCCACACCUCCGUUCACCGCUAGAUCUGGUGUUGCGCCCUCAUUCCGAGCGCCCGUUCUCGGUCGCUUCAUUCUCCUCCGGAUCAAGUGUUGCCCUGUUCUCGACCACUCCACUAUUCUCCUCCAGAUCUGUAGCGCCUUUAUUCCAGACAAAGGAGGUGUCGAUGUUGAUUUUCAACGAGUCCGAGGUCGGGGGUUUCCAUUGUUGCGUGGUUUGAUGCGGAUGCAGGGGGUGGUGUUCGAAGAUAAACCAGUUCCGAUCUUUUCAAAUACACCACACAGUAGUGGCGAUUAGGUCGAAGGUCUAGCUCUCCAUAUCUGAACUGUCCAAGGGCAGAGUAAUAAAGCAUGUUCAAUAGUUUCGGCUUCCUUUUUGCAGAUUGGCCAUAGCGGAUCAGGUACAAUUCUUCUCCUAUGCAAGUUGUCCACUGUGGGUAGUGCAUUAUGGCAAGCAUUCCAGAAAAACUGUUUAACUCUAGGUAGAGUUUUAGAUUUCCAAAUAAAUUUCCAGAGAUCUGGCUUUGUUUGGUGAGAGGAAGAUGCUAUUGUGGUUUGUGGGUUUGCUGCUUGAUUUCUAGUGGUAAAAUAGCCGCUUUUCACUGAAUAGACCCCUGAUUUGUUGUUUAUCCACAUCAUUUUAUCUACUGUAGAAGGUAAUCCAAUAGGGGUUGCAAGGAUUUCCUUAACUCUUUGGUCGUCGAACAACGACCUUACCAUUGCCUCGUUCCAUUUGCCAUCCCUUUGUUCUAUUAAUGCACCCACUUUCUCUGGCUCAUUCAUUGUCACUGGCCCACCAAUAGGGCCACUUUUUAACCAUUUGUCUUCUCUAACCGAAAUAGUCUAUCGAUUUCCAAUAGCCCACAUAACUUGAGGCGCUAUCGAGUCUCUCCCCAAGUCAAUGUUUUGCCAUCCCCACAAAGGUCUGGAACCUUUUCCAGCUUUCCAAAAAUCACAUAGUGGAUAGUAAAGUCCCUUCAUUAGUUGACUUAGAAGGAAGUAGGUUGCUGAGAAAUGCGCCAUGCUUGCUUUCCUAACAUUGCCUUGUUGAAAGCUAGGAAGUCUUUAAAGCCGAGCCCUCCUUCAUCCUUUCUAAGUUUCAAUUUAUCCCAUUUUUUUCCAGUGAAUCUCAGCAGCUUUGUUACCAUUCCUCCACCAAAAAUUUGCAAUUUUCUUUUCAAUAGCUUUGCAUAUUGAUGCAUGGAUUUUGAAAAUGGACAUUGCAUAUUGCGGAAUAGCUUGCACCACUGAUUUGAUCAAUAUCUCAUUGCAUGUUUUUGACAGCAAGUUGUCAUUCCAACUCUCCAGCUUCAUAUUAACUUAGGCAAGAAUCCAAGCAAAGAUGUCUUUUUUCUAGCCUCCUCAAUCCGAGGGAAUACAUAAGUACUUCCUUGUCUUUUCUAUUUCUUGAACUCUUAGCUAUUGCAUAUUGCGGAAUAGCAUGCACCACUGAUUUGAUCGAUAUCUCAUUGCCUGUUUUUUACAGCAAGUUGUCCUUCCAACUCUCCAGCUUCAUAUUAACUUUGGCAAGAAUCCAAGCAAAGAUGUCUUUUUUUUAGCCUCCCCAAUCCGAGGGAAUACCUAAGUACUUCCCUGUCUUUUCUAUUUCUUGAACUCUUAGCUCUUCAGCCAUAUUUCUUCUGAGAUUCGUUGGACAGCUCUUGCUGAAGUAGAUUCCUGAUUUGUUAAGAUUAAUAGCCUGUCUUGUUGUGAAACAAUAUUGAUGUAGAAUAGCUGCCAAAUUCUGACA